rnacentral:rRNA from 1 species
AAAUUGAACUCGCUGUGAAGAUGCAGUGUACCCGCGGCAAGACGGAAAGACCCCGUGAACCUUUACUAUAGCUUGACACUGAACAUUGAGCCUUGAUGUGUAGGAUAGGUGGGAGGCUUUGAAGUGUGGACGCCAGUCUGCAUGGAGCCGACCUUGAAAUACCACCCUUUAAUGUUUGAUGUUCUAACGUGGACCCGUAAUCCGGGUUGCGGACAGUGUCUGGUGGGUAGUUUGACUGGGGCGGUCUCCUCCUAAAGAGUAACGGAGGAGCACGAAGGUUGGCUAAUCCUGGUCGGACAUCAGGAGGUUAGUGCAAUGGCAUAAGCCAGCUUGACUGCGAGCGUGACGGCGCGAGCAGGUGCGAAAGCAGGUCAUAGUGAUCCGGUGGUUCUGAAUGGAAGGGCCAUCGCUCAACGGAUAAAAGGUACUCCGGGGAUAACAGGCUGAUACCGCCCAAGAGUUCAUAUCGACGGCGGUGUUUGGCACCUCGAUGUCGGCUCAUCACAUCCUGGGGCUGAAGUAGGUCCCAAGGGUAUGGCUGUUCGCCAUUUAAAGUGGUACGCGAGCUGGGUUUAGAACGUCGUGAGACAGUUCGGUCCCUAUCUGCCGUGGGCGCUGGAGAACUGAGGGGGGCUGCUCCUAGUACGAGAGGACCGGAGUGGACGCAUCACUGGUGUUCGGGUUGUCAUGCCAAUGGCACUGCCCGGUAGCUAAAUGCGGAAGAGAUAAGUGCUGAAAGCAUCUAAGCACGAAACUUGCCCCGAGAUGAGUUCUCCCUGAGACUUAGAGUCUCCUGAAGGAACGUUGAAGACGACGACGUUGAUAGGCCGGGUGUGUAAGCGCAGCGAUGCGUUGAGCUAACCGGUACUAAUGAACCGUGAGGCUUAACCUUACA